rnacentral:lncRNA from 1 species
UCCCUAUAAUCUCCAUAUUACAGAAGAAAGAACAGAGACUCAGAAAAGUCAGAUGAUUUGCCUAUAGUUACACAGCUAAUAAGCACAGAAAGUGGAAUUUAAACACUGGCUUUUCCUGACACCAAGAUCAACAUGUAUGUCAUGCUAUGACAUUCUGCCUGGUAGUGACAAAGGAACUUCAAAAGGGAAGGAAGGAUGUCAGUGAGUGAUCAUGGAAAGAUUUCCUAGAGAAAAUAAACUAAUGCUUAGUCUUGUAGAAUAAGGAUGUAUUAUAAUAAGGAUAAUCUAGAAACAAAAUGGUCAAUUUAUCUUCUCCUAGGAUGACUGCAAUUAAAACUGUCUGUGUGUCUCGUCUCUGUGUUUCUUUUUCUUUUCUCUCUCUCUCCUUUUCUCUCUCUCUCUCUCCCAUAAUUCACUGAACUUUUCACUGGGUUCCUAUCAUAUUUAUGGAACUAUGCAAAGUAUCUCAUUAGCUUAGAUGAGGUAUUUUGCUUCAUUAAUCCAGAUUAAUUAUUAUUAAAUAGGUGAUACAGUAGAUAGAUUACUACACUUACAGUCAGGAAGACAUGAAUUCAAAUUUUCCUUUAGACACUUACUAUUUGUGUCUCCCUGGGCAAAUAACCUCUUUCUACCUCACUUUCCCUAUAUGCAAAAAUGAGGAUAAUAACAAUAUGGUGAGGAUAAAAUGAGGGUAUUUUAUAAAGCACUUUGAAAUUCUUAACAUGCUAUAUAAGUGCUAGCUAUUACUAUUGACAACAAUGAUAAUAACAGUUCACUCAUAUAACACUUUUCAGAUAUAUUCAUUUGAUCAUCAAAACGGAUGUGAAUUGGGCAAAUGUUCUUAGGCCUAUUUUACAAAUAAGGAAAAUCAGUCUCAGAGAUGUUGUUAGCACUAUGUCUGGCACAUAGUAGAAGCAUGGGGACAACUAAUUAUAGAAUCACGGAAUUUCAGCUUGACUCCUGCAUUUUAUAUAUGAAGAAACUGAGGUUGUGAAAAGUGACUUGUCCAUGGUCACAGAGAUCUUUAGUGGCAAAGCUGGGAAUAAAAUGGGUGAUUCAUUAGAAAGGUGCCAUGGUUAAAAAAGAGGUAGAUAGUUUGUUAAGGAAUCAGAAAACAUU